rnacentral:rRNA from 1 species
CGCCUUGCCAGCCCGCUCAGAAACUUAAAGGAAUUGACGGGGGCCCGCACAAGCGGCGGAGCAUGUGGAUUAAUUCGAUGCAACGCGAAGAACCUUACCUGGGUUUGACAUACACCGGAAAACCGUAGAGAUACGGUCCCCCUUGUGGUCGGUGUACAGGUGGUGCAUGGCUGUCGUCAGCUCGUGUCGUGAGAUGUUGGGUUAAGUCCCGCAACGAGCGCAACCCUUGUCUUAUGUUGCCAGCACGUGAUGGUGGGGACUCGUAAGAGACUGCCGGGGUCAACUCGGAGGAAGGUGGGGACGACGUCAAGUCAUCAUGCCCCUUAUGUCCAGGGCUUCACACAUGCUACAAUGGCCAGUACAGAGGGCUGCGAGACCGUGAGGUGGGGCGAAUCCCUUAAAGCUGGUCUCAGUUCGGAUCGGGGUCUGCAACUCGACUCCAUGAAGUUGGAAUCGCUAGUAAUCGUGGAUCAGCAUGCCACGGUGAAUACGUUCCCGGGCCUU